CAAAAAGAUUUGAGAAUGAUUUCAAAAAUUUGUUGACGAAAGGAGGAAAAAGAAUAGGAAAUAUCGUGAUAUAAUGAUAAUAUUUGCUAGAAAAUUAGGUGUGACAUUCAAGUGGGUUUUAUGAAGAUUGAUGCUCAUUCUUUUAGGUAUUUGGCUUGAGUUGUUGUUAGGUACUCCAUGUUUUUCCCCUUUUCUUUAAAGAUAGAAAAUACUAUUCUUGAAUAGCCCUCGAUCUUCUAACAAUACAUCAUCUGAACCUUUAUAGUGAACAUUGUUUGACAAUAAAAUUAAAACUAUGGCAAUUUAUUCUCUCAUGUGUUUGAGGGCAGAAAGCAGAAUGCUACUAUAUGAUUCUUUUUUUUCCCACUCAAUUUCUGUAAUGCUUCACCACAAUGUAGCAGCCGUUGUUAGGUUGUAGCUUUUUAUGAAUUUAAGAUUUAAUUUUAAACUGUUUUUAUGAUCUCAAAUAGCUCUCUACAAGAGAGCCUUUUUGUCAAUUAAACUGACCGAAGAGUGAUGAAAUACCGUACAAAUUCUUGAAAGAAAGUGAUUUGGUAUGUUAUGUUUUGGUUCUGCGUCAAAACACGCAAGUCUACACGUUGUGUGUAACUGGCAGGUGCUCCUUUAAUCUGGAUGAAUUUUGUUUCAACUGUUUUCUUUUCUGCCCUGCAGUCUAUUGCUUAUAUUUAGUUGUAGUCUUGAAAGUUGCUUAGGUAAUCUGAUGAUACAAUAGUUUCUUCAUAUCUUAGUCACUUGAUUUAUCAGAAUACCUUACAUGUGGCUGAUUAAUGAUUGUGACAGUAAGAACAUCUCUAGAACCACCACAGUGGUUAAUGGUUAUAGCUGCCUGCUCGAGUCCUUUCCUCUCCUCCUUGAUCUCAUACAACUGGUGCUAUUUCUACGCUAAGGCUUGUGAUUGGUUUUACGUUACCACCACUGGCUCAUCAUAAAGCCCAACAUAUUAAUAGUCGGGUGUUCUUUUUUUUUUUUUUUUUGAGUCAAAAAUUGUGGAGGCUUAAAAAAAAAGACUAAACACGUCAUGGAUGCAUCACCAGUAUAAAAUGCCACACUAGCAUCUAAUAGUAUGAUGCUGCCAUGGAUGUAAAGAAUGACGAGUGGAAUUUUGUUUCAAAAUGCAUGUAAAGUGUAUCUAGAAUUAGCAUGCGAUGUUGCAUAGAUGUUAACUUUGAUUAACUUAGAUGUAGCAAUUUUUAUUAUAUGAACAUGAAUUAUUAUAUUCGCAUGUCAAUGUCAGUUUCAA